GAUGAACGCUAGCGGCAGGCCUAACACAUGCAAGUCUAGGGAGAAGCCCUUUCGGGGGCAGAAACCGGCGCACGGGUGCGUAACGCGUAUGCAACCUACCUUUCACAGGGGGAUAGCCCGAAGAAAUUUGGAUUAAUACCCCAUAAUAUUAUUGGAUGGCAUCAUUUGAUAAUUAAAACUGCGGUGGUGAAAGAUGGGCAUGCGUCCUAUUAGCUAGUUGGAGUGGUAACGGCACCCCAAGGCUACGAUAGGUAGGGGUCCUGAGAGGGAGAUCCCCCACACUGGUACUGAGACAGGGACCAGACUCCUACGGGAGGCAGCAGUGAGGAAUAUUGAUCAAUGGUCGGAAGACUGAACCAGCCAUGCCGCGUGCAGGAAGAAUGCCUUAUGGGUUGUAAACUGCUUUUAUAUGGGAAGAAUAAGGCGUACGUGUACGUUGAUGACGGUACCAUAUGAAUAAGCAUCGGCUAACUCCGUG
rnacentral:rRNA from 1 species